rnacentral:sRNA from 1 species
GGAUGUGAGGGCGAUCUGGCUGCGACAUCUGUCACCCCACUGAUCGCCAGGGUUGACUCGGCUGAUCUGGCUGGCUAGGCAGGUGUCCCUUCCUCCCUCACCGCUCCGAAGCUGCCCCCUGGGUAGAAGAGGAUAACCAUCCCUGAUAGAGGAGGACCGUUCUCUGGUCAAGGGUAUACAAGUAGCUGUGCUCCCCUGCUAGAACCUCCAAACAAGCUCUCAGAACUUAAAGUUUAAUGGUCUCUCUCUUGUU